ensembl:lncRNA
CUCGGGUCUCCGUGGCGCGGCACCCGGCACCUCCCGGCUGCAGCGGCGGGGCGCGCGCCGCCGUCCAGGGCUCUGGACUGCAGGCUGCAGCGAGACGCCGCGGCUCGGCCUCCAGUCAAGUCCCCUCCGCGCGCUGGCACCGAGGCAGAGCACCUCCGUCCCCGAGGCCAAGCACAAGUCCGGAGAGCAGGAGAACUGGCCAGGCUGGCCCAGUAACACGUCCCCACUGGGCGCGGCGGCAGCGGGCCGGGAGGGAACACCCGGGGCUCCAAUUCCCAGCCGGAUCGACCCAGGCUUUUCCUGAGCGAGCCAAGCCCAGGCUGCCAAGGGAGGCCCCGCUCGGGGAGCGCGCGUUUGCAGGCACCGCGCUUCCCUGCCAGCCAGCGCUGGGCUGCCACCCGACGCCAACUUUCCCCUCGGGCUCUGGAAGGAAGGACGCACGCUGCGUGCAGCCAGAGCGCCGCGAUUCCCGCCCCAAGCAAAAGGCGUCGCCCAUGUCUCCCCAAAAGCACCACAACCAAACUAGCAGCCAGGUCUCCCCAUGCCCUUCCGCGGCCCACCCGGAAAGUGGCGAGCGAGGGCGCAGAUGCCCUCGGUCGGGUCCUCGGUCUGCACCGAGACGUCGCCAAACGAACCUGCAGCCGGCGGAAGCCUGGGGGCUAGUGCAAACGCGCUGCCCGCCGCCUCCGCUGGGCCGGCGCGAGGGCGAGGGCGAGGGCGAGCGAAGCUCCCGGGUGCGCGAGGAGGCAAACCGCUAGCCGGCCGGCCGCCGGGCUCUGGCCGGGACGGCGAGGGGGCGGCGAGGGGGUGGGAGCGACCCGCCUGGGCCCUGGCGCGGCCCCUCCGUCAGCUCCGGGGCGCUUUCUCCGUCCCAGGACGAUUCCUUAUUCCCCAGCCGCUCCGCAUCCUCACUUCGGACCCACAGCCACUCCUAAAUUCCGUCACCUUUGCUUACCACCGCCGUUCCCAACGCGCCCUCCUACUGGCAUAGCAGGUGACCUGAAACCAGCCUUACCUGCCGCCAACUCCUCACUCCCGCUCUCUCAGCCUGCUGUCCCUUCAGGGACAGAGGAAGGGGAUGCGGGCUGGGGGCGUGGGAGCUGCGAGGAGGCGCAGUCCAAGAGGAAGGGCGCCUUUGAAGUUUGUUGAGCGACCACAGCAGCUGUCCGGGGAGAGACUGAGUCUUUCUCAAAAGGGGCUGCUGCAACCGCCAGGGAUUACCUCUCCCCUUCCGGUCUCCUCCCUCAGCCCUCGCCCCCGCCGGCGCGCGCCAGCCCUCCUGGGCAUGCUGCUAGAAGGCCAUCCCUGCUGGCGGGGCCACAGCGCAGAUCCCAGACAGCUCCGGGCGCUCCUAGGGGUCUUCCUCCGGGUAGGGCACUCUGUCUGUAAAGAGUCCUCUGCUGUUUGAGCCUGCGCCCGGAUAACUUAGGACCUGUUUAUUCGAUACCAUAAAGUCUCUAAGGAGCUGCGGAAAAAAACGGGACACUGUCCUACGAAUUUUAAGGUACUUGGUGGCAGAGCCAGCCUCAGGAGGGACUCAAGUUUUCUAACUCUGACCGAGGUCUUUUCCUGUAUCUCAUGCUGCCCCAUCUCUGUGACUUUGGUUUUGACUGUCAACCAACCAAACUCAUAAUUUUCCUCUUUGGAUACAAGAAAAUUGAAGUCCCUAUAGAUUAUUCGAACCUAUAGCAACUUUUUUUCCUCAAUGCUUCAUAGUUAAUGUUCUACCACUCCUUUUUUAAUUAACCAUAUCCUUGGUGUGCUUAUUGCAUUUUUGUGUAUUUUUAUAUCCUUUUUUAUUUGUUUAUGCCAUUGCCUCUCAAUCCAAACUGCAAGCUCAGUGUGAGGACAAAAUACCUCCUUUGUCUCCCACAGCGUAGUUUAGCUUUUUGCAUAUGGUGUGUACACAAUGAGUAGUUUUUGAUCCUUAAAAACUCUCUAUUUAUGAAUUUUCUAAUAAUUCUGUCACUUCGUUGACCAGAAUAUUGUGUUUAAGUAGAAUCGUGGUUAACUCUGGAUUUCCCCUUUUUCCUUCCUGUCUAAAUUCUAGGUUAAUAUACGCAAACCAAAUGAUAUCUCCCUCUGCUUAUUUCAACCUUUUCUACAAAACCCCUACAGAAUUCAUCACACCCUCCUGUUUUCCCAAAGAAGUUUGAUUUCACUAUUCGAAGGCCUUUUCAUGUUAGAUCAUAGUUAGUUAUGCAAGCCAAGUGUGUUGGCUGUUUUGUGUCUGUGUUUUCUCAGCCCCUAAAACAAU